rnacentral:lncRNA from 10 species
AAUACUUCAGCCUCCUGAGUAGCUGGGACCACAGGUGCACACCACCACACCUGGCUUAUUUUAAAAUUUUUUUUCUAGAGACAGGGUCUCGCUAUGCUGCCCAAGCUAGUCUUGAAUUUCUGGUCUCAAGCAAUCCUUCUGCCUUAGCCUCCCAAAGUGCUGGGAUUACAAAAGUGAGCCAGCAUGCCCUGCCUGCAUUACUUUUUGUAAUGUUUAUUGCCGUGGAAAAUCACUGACAACUUGAAUCAGGUUGUAUUUGUUACUAUGAGACUCUUAAAUUAUCUGAACCGUAUGGUUGGAAACAAUGAUUUCUAGAACUAGCAUCAGCUUUCAAGGUUUGUUGAUGGAAGAGAGUACUUAAGCUAAUAAAUGUAACUUGUUAAAUGAAACGGGAAACAUCAAAAUGCAGCUAAGCAUUAAGAAAAUGAAAGAGAAAAGUUUCCCUAGGAGAGAAGAAAUUAAUGAAAUGUGUAUCUUAAUGUAUCCCUGAAGAUGGUAUUUCUGCAACAUACUGAAUUGAGGGUGAAUUUACUAGUUUAUGGAGCGGGGUGGGGCGGGGGGGGAUCUGGUUCUUUUCUCCACUUGUGCUGUGCUGACUUGUUUCGUAUGUGUUUUGGAUACAUGUGGUGAUAGCAACCUGUUAGUCUCUGGUAAAACCCAGUCCAAAGAUAUGUGAAGCCUGGACACGUGAGGCUGAAUAAGGAUGUCCUAGAGCCAUGAAAUACAUUAACAUUGUUGGGCAGUUAUGGCAACGGAAAAACAGUGUUAAUAUAGGGAGUAAGUAGGCACUUUAUAGGCAAAGAGGACAUGCCUUUUCUGUAUGCAACGAGCUUUGCAAAUUCUAACUCCACCCUAAUUAUAACUGCCUUGUUCUCAUGAAGUUCACUGUCAGCAACUGUUUAUUCACCAGGUACAAUAUUAUGCAUAAUACACUGGGCUGAGAACUGUGAGGGAUACAAUUUGGAAAGACAGGGCCCCUGGUCUUAAGAUGCCAUUGAAAAGCACAGACUGUGUUCGGGAAUCAGUAAGUCCAGUGUGUAGAUGACAGCGUUAGUGGGGAAAAAUGGAAUACAGAGUUGAAAGGUGUAUUGGAGCCAGAUUGUUAGGUUUUUGAAUGCAAAAUUUAUAUGUUAGGAUGCUAUUAUUUGGAAAGUGGGGACUUACUCAAUUUUUUUUAACAUUAAAAGAAAAUAAUCAAAUCUGUUUCUGGCUAUUCACAUUUUUUUGGUCCCAUU